GUAACUCAUCGUCAGAUUGAACAGAUGCUUUGGGACUUGACAGACAGCGAGAACAAACUGGCCUACGAGAAGGGCAAGCUGCAGACGCAGAGAGAAAUCAGACACUAAAAGAGCAACUCUGUGCACUACAGCAACACCACAGAGACAUGCAGAACACACAGACACUGUAUGCAGAGCUAAGAGAAAGAGCACAGGAACUACACACACUCAGUAGAGAGGUGUGUGUGAGAGAGACUACAAGAGGACAAACGUCUGAUCAAAGGAUCAGGGUCAGUUCAACUUAACAGGGGACUCGUUUUUUGUUGCACUAGCUAAUAUGGCAGGACUUGUGGCAUGGAUGUAGGGAGCAUUACCCAAAAGUUUUCAGUGUAUCUCAUUGUAGCAGUGCUGUUUUCACAGUGAGCAUGUUUAAAGGAAUAGUUCAACCAAAAAUGUACAUUUUUUGGAAAUGUACACACCCUCAGGCAAUCCAAGACAUAGAUGAGUUUGUUUCUUAAUGGGAACAGAUUUUGAGAAAUUUAACAUUGCAUCACUUGCUCACCGAUGGAUGCUCUGCAGUGAAUGGGUGCCGUCAGAAUGAGAGUCCAAACAGCUGAUAAAAACAUCACAAUGGUCCACAAGUAAUCCACACCACUCCAGUCCAUCAAUUAACAUAUUCUGAAGCUAAAAGCUGCAUGUUUGUAAGAAACAAAUCUAUCGUCAAGGCGUUUUAACUUUAAACUGUCAUAAACCGUCUUAAACCGUUUCACUCAUUAGCUGAAAGGAAACUAUAACCAUACUAACACAGUUAAGAGGAAAAUUUAGACACUUCUGCUCAAAAUAACAUUUUUAUAUGGAAAACUUAAUAAAAAGCUUUAAUAUUUGCUCAUUUCUGUGGAAUAUUUGCUCAUUUCUUGCUAUAUAGACUUCUAUUAUAAGUGCAUCACUGUAAACAUGAUUUUUGUGUGUGUUCACUCAGUGAUUGUUUGUAGUAAUCAGCAUUAUGUUGUGUUUGUCAGACUGCAGGCUAUGUUAGAGAUUCAGAGGCUUGAAGCUGAAGUAGAGAAUCACAACACAAGGAACAAUGAGAAGCUGAAGAAGGCACUAAAUGAUGCAUCGGCAAAGUCAGGUGACCUCUCACGAGCCAAUCAGGAGCUUCGAGAGAAGGUGUCUGAGCUGGAAAAGUUGGUGUCCAAUCAGAAGUCUCGACUGAGUCAGUAUCUGGACAACAGAACCACUCUGAAACACUCUCUGAGAAUCAAGGUGUGUCACUUUACCCACAGUUUACAUCUCUGUACUGGAUACAGGCAGAGCUUUUUGCAUCAUCUUUGCCUUCCCGACAGGAUUUGGAAGCAGAAAUUGAAAGUCUUGAAGAAUAAAAGGAGGCAUAUAAGAGGAGGAGUUAUGAACAGUGUGUUUCAGUCUCAGUCUUUGCUGCAGCUGCGCUCUGAGAUGUUUUCUCUCCAGUCUGAGCUGCAGUGUCUGUAUUCCACUCAGCAGGCGGAGCUACAGGCCGAAAGAGAUCUCAAUCGCACACUACAGGAGAAAUGUUGGCACCUGGAAGAGAGUUUGAAACGGCUCCAGGAUGAGGCAGAAGUGAGACUCAGGGAAGUUUAUCUGGAGUCAAAGCAGAUCACAGAGAACAUGGACAAGGACCACAGAGGGGUCUGCUCUAAAUCUGAGAGCUUUAAUGGCCAGGCUGAGCCACAGAAACUCACAGAGCUUUCGCAAGAGGGGAGAAGACAGCACAUGGUCCACUUCAGCUCAGGAGAUUGCCUUUUGGGUUUUCUUUCGGGAUCGCCGGUGACCCGCUGUGUGGAAACGCACUGAGCCAUGCGUCAGUUGAAGGGCAAGCCGAAGAAGGAGUCGUGGAAGGACAAAAAGGAGCGCAAACAGGCCAUGCAGGAGGCGCGGGAGCAGGUGACAACCAUCGUUCUACCGACGCUCAUCUUGCUCGUGCUGCUCAUCGUCCUCCUCGUCUACGUGGCGACGAGACCCGGAGCCAUCGAGUAAAAAGACUCCAAAUAGCCAAAUCUCCUCUGCCCUUGUCUUUCUCUUUCAUUUCCCCUUGUUCCUUCACAAUGCAGAGUUCGGUGGAUGAAUUGGACACAAUCAUAAAGAUGAAUGGAUUGAUAAAGGAGUGGUUUUCUGUGUCAUGUUUGGAGUAUGUUGAAGGAGUCUUCCAUUUCGGCUUCUGACAGAGCACCUCUCCCACAGGGUUCUAGUUUCAUGCCAAAGCACCUGAGACGCAGCAGACUCGGACUGACCCAGGAAGCGGGCCAGAUCUGAUGCCGUCAAAGUCAAUACAAAUGAGAAGUGACUGUAGUAUUGCACAUGUUUGUAGCAUGCAAAUGCACACACACACACAGAUCCACACACACACACAGAUCCACAAAUGAACAGUGAUGGGUGUCACAUGAAACCAUUAAUGACAGAAUUGUAUGUUACCCAGAAUGUAUACUUCUUAUUGCUCAUUACCGAAUCCCUCUUAACAAGCAGUUGCUGAUGUUUUUGGUAAUGUGUGUGUGUGUGUGUGUGUGUGUGUGUGUGUGUAGUAGCCUACUCUUAUUUUAAAAUGUAUUCCAGCAGGACUUGGAUCUUAAAAUGUGCCUUAAUGUUUAAUGACAUAACAGCAUUUAAAGUAUUAAUAAAGAAAUAGAAAGCCAUGCUGACUGCUUUAAGUAUGGUUUUAAUAAGACUGUUUUGAUCUUUCAAGUUUUUCCUCCCAUCUAUCUCUUACUAAAAGUAUUUCAUUCUUUUAGGAACUUUGCUUUUGCUGACAAAACGUUUUCUCGCAAAAAUAAUCGCAUCUCCUUAAGAAACUUAACGUGCACAAGAACUGAAAUAUAGUUUUUCUGCAAAAGCUUUGUGAGUGCAUGCAUUGAAAAACAGUUUUUCCUCUCGCAAAAGUAUUUUUAUUCCCCUGAAGAACUUUGCAUUCGCUUACACAAGCAUUCAAAUAUAGUUUUUCAGCACAAACGUUUUAUGAGAGAAUGCACUGACUGAAAUAUCAUUUUCCUCCCAUCUCUCAUGCAAAAAGUAUUUCAUUUCCCUGAGAAAUUCUGCAUUAGCUUGCAAAACGUUUUGCGCUCUCGUUCACAAAAGUAAUGCAUUGUCUCGUAAAACCUUGCGUUUGCUCACAAAAGCAUUGAAAUAUAUUUUUUUUCUCCCACUUCAUAUUAGCAAGAGGACUCAGUUACUUUGUGGAACACAUAAUGUUUGCGAACCAAGAAAACCAAACUAGUUUCAAUAUCUUUUUGAUACACUAGACAAACUACACACUUUCUCUGCCUGCCAGAAG
rnacentral:lncRNA from 1 species